CUGAACUUGAAAGAAGGCAGAGGAAAUGGAAGGCCUACAAAGAAAUUUCCUCGAGGAGCAAAAGGAAACCUCUCUUAUUUGACUGCUCACGGAAGGAGCCUGGAGAAGAACCUAGGUCCUCGUAGUCUGCUCUGUACAGCUGAGGACGGUACCCAGGAAGGAACCCUUUCGUCAUCUUCUGGAAGUGCAAAGAAAGGAUCAUUUGAGUCUACUUUCUGUCAAGGACAGAUACAAGUGUUCCUGCAACACAGAGCAUCAAGAUGUUGAUAGAGCCUUUUGGGGCACUCUCUUCACUGGUAUUCCUAGAUACCUGCAAAGGUGGAUUAACUUUUGCCCUUAUGGACGUGCAGAAGCCUUGGUUUUCUGCAACUAUGAAUCACCGGACAGAGAACACAGAUUUGCAUCUAUGUUGUUGUUGGUUUUUUUUUUUUUUGUAUGCUGAUUAACUCCCUCUGAAAUACCUUUGAAAGCAGAGCUCAAAGGCCAAAGAAGCUAAUUUUUAAAAUGACCAAAUGGAUCGUGCCCUUAGAGGUGU
rnacentral:lncRNA from 1 species